rnacentral:lncRNA from 1 species
CCGUGGAUUCGAUCCAUUUACCACUAUACACUAUUUUAGUGUAAAGGAUUUAGGGUUAUUUAUUUUGUUGGCAUCGACAACCACCAAAUUCUAAUCGCAAUAUGGUCGCCAAAGGUUCCAGAAAAACCUAGGGUAUUGGGCAAUUAAGCCCUUUAUAUAGACUUUUGAAAUCAGAGUCUACUCGUCGAGUCCAGUGACCGACUCGACGAGUAGCUCACUUAAAACCCGUGUAUGGCAAGGCAUCUGAUGUUCACGCAUAUUCGUAUCUUUUCGCCAAGUAGGUGUCCGACUUGCCGAGUCCUUCAGAUUUUUAGCUCUUUCUCUUCUUUCUUCAAUUCUCAAGCUUCCGGUUGUCAGUCCUGCUUCCUUUUGCUCCCGAGCAUGUCUUUUAGGCUGAAAAUACAAUUUAAGCAAAAAUUAAGUACCUUUUGUUCAAUAACUGCAAUAAAAUAGCCAAAAAGUAUUAAGAUUCUACAUAAAUUAUAUGAUCAAAUAUGCACAUAUCAAAAUACCACAAACUUAAGUUUUGCUUGCCCCCAAGCAAAACUGAAUUUUAAGCACACCUGCAUCACAUAAGAUAAUCUCACUCAAACCCAGCCAUUAUGCCAAGACCGCAACGCAUUUAUUGUGUCUUAAUUUUUUCCUAAGGACCUCCCCCCUAAUUCUAUAUACUUACAAUCCUAAUAAACACUUGUCCACUUCUUUUGAACAACGCUCAUUUUAUGUAUUUCUCCUAAUCCAUCCGCAAAAAACUCUUUUAACCUCAAUGUAUUUUUGGUCAAGCUACCCAAGCAUACAUAAUCUAGAAAGAAAUACAAUUUUUGAUACCACAAUGGAGCUCAUUGGAAUUCUUCAUUUCUUUGAUAAAUUGAUUUUUUUUUUUUAAUUCACCACCUUCUUUGUUUGAUUUUUGAUAUCUUCAACUUUUGAAUUUCUUCAGAAUUUUGAUCUUCAUUUUAUACUUUGAUUGGUCUAAAAUUCUUUAACUUUUUUUAAAUUUCUCUUUUUUUUUUCAACGUGUAUCUCACUUUUUGGUGAUUUCUUCAUGCUCCUCCCCAAGUCGGUUUUGAAUGAGAAAAAAAGUGAGAUACAUGUUGAAAAAAAAGAGAGAAAUUACCAAAAAGUUAAAGAAUUUUGGAGCAAUCAAAGUAUAAAAUAUGAAUAUCAAAAUUCUGAAGAAAUUCAAAAGUUGAAGAUAUCAAAAAUCAAACAAAGAAGGUGGUGAAUUCAAAGAAAUCAAUUUAUCAAAGAAGUGAAGAAUUCCAAAGAGCUUCAUUGUGGUAUCAAAAAUUGUAAUUUUUUCUAGAUUAUGUAUGCUUGGGUAGCUUGACCAAAAAUACCUUGAGGUUAAGAUAGUUUUCUGCGGAUGGAUUCAGAGGAAUGCAUAAAAUGAGCGUUGUUCAAAAGAAGUGGAUGAGUGUUUAUGAGGAUUGUAACUAUUUAGAAUUAGGGGGUGUCCUUAGGAAAAAAUUAAGACACAGAUGCAUGCGUUGCGGUCUUGGCAUAUUGGUUGGGUUCGAGUGAGAUUGUCUUAUGUGAUGCUGGUGUGCUUAAAAUUCAGUUUUGCUUAGGGGAAAGCAAAAGUCAAGUGUGGAGUAUUUUGAUAUGUGCAUAUUUGAUCAUAUAAUUUAUAUAGAAUCUUAAUGCUUUUUGGCUAUUUUAUUGCAAUUAUUGAACAGAAGGUACUUAAUUUUGCUUAAAUUGUAUUUUUCAGCCUAAAAGACAUGCUCGGGAGCAAAAGGAAGCAGGACUAGCAAUUGGAAGCUUGGGAAUUGAAGAAAGAACAGAAGGAGCUAAAAAUCUGAAGGACUCGGCGAGUCAGACACCUACUCGGCAAAUAGAUACGAAUAUUCGCGAACAUCAGAUGCCUUGCCGUACACGGGUUUUAAGUGAGGGACUCGUCAAGUCGGUCACUGGACUCGACGAGUAGCCCCUGUUUCAGAAGUCUAUAUAAAGGGCUUAAUUGCCCGAUACCCUAGCUUUUUCUGGUGCCUUUGGCGACCAUAUUGUGAUUAGAAGUGCUACUGAGGCUCUCGAACUCGAAUAUCAACCUUAGUUAUCAAUUUUGAGGAGAUUAAAAGGCAAAAACAUAUUCUCUUUUCUUAAUCUAGUGUUUACAACAUGUUUGAAUCAUUAGGUUUAGUUUGUGAGAUAUUUUCUACUAUGAAUAUGAGCUAAACACUUAUAGCUUCUGUUUAGGGUAGAUUAGCUUGUUAAUAUGGUAUGAUUUCUAUGGCAUGGAUUAUUUGAUUUGGUGAGAUUGUUUUUGCUAAGUUUGCUAAAGAUCAUUUUGUGUUAACAAUAACUAUUUUUUGUUAACUAUAAAGAUUAAGUUGCAUGAACAUCCUUUUAAUUGUUUGCCUCUGUGAAAACAAGAUUAUAUGCCUAGGAAUAGUGAACUUGAAACUAGGGUUAACUAGAAAAUAGAUAAGUUAAUGUGUGAGCUUGUAUGUUGAACAACCAUACAAGAUGUUAAUUAAAUUAGUAAUUUAAUUCUAACUACAAGUCUUACUUAACCUGAAUCAAUAUACUAGGAAACUCAUUAGUUUAACCAAUUGGCCACUGGUUGAAUUUAAAUUGUUUUCUAAGGAUUAGUAAUAGUGAACAUGAACCUAAUCACAUUAAUCGGUAGCCAAUGACAAAUUAAUUCAUUGCACUUGCCAUAAAAUCAACCAUAAGAAUAAGUGAGUCGAACCUGAAGUCCUGAACAGAAGGCUCCUUUAUUAUUGAAUUUAGUUGAUUUUUAUUUGCUUUAUUUGUUAAUAGCCUUUGUUUUAAUAUUAGUUAAUUGUUUAAGUUUAUAGGCUUGCAAAACUAGAGAAAACCCCUUUCUUUUAUUAUUUGUUUUUAGAUAAUUCUAGUAGUUAGUUUAAUUACCGUUCUCUGUGUUCAAUACCAUGCUUGCUUAAACUAUACCACUAAUUGACAGGUACACUGCCUUUUGUGUGUCGAAUUUAUGUUAAAAUAGUAGGACUAAAACUAGUGCACUUAACACACUUCAACAAACAAUUUGUAUGUAUUUUAUGUAUUUACUUCACGUAAAAUAUAUUUUUUUGUCUUUAAAAAAUACGUUUUCGUAAAGUAUAUUUUUUUUAUGCCUUUGAAAUAAUAAUAAUUAACACUACUUAUGACAUAAAAAAACUAUAAACAUUCUUUUGGGUCGCUAGUUCUAAAACCAUUUUUUCGGUUAUAUGUAUUAAAAACAACUUAACAACGAUUUUCUGAUGUAUCUAAACAAUUUAUACGGUUUUUUUAUGUUAAUAAUUGUUAUUUCAAAAAGAUAUAUCAUUAUUUCUUUCCAUCUUCAUUUUAACUAUAUGAUUUAGAACUUGCAAUUAAAAUGAAACACGUAUUUUAAAUAAGAUAUAUAACCGAAUAGGUUUUUUUUUUCUUUUCUUAAAUACAUAUUACCGAAUACGUAUUUAUAAAAAAAAACAUAAAAAAACAGUUUUCAGAAAACCGAUUGGACCAAAUCAAAAACAUAUUUAGCCGAUUUUGCCUUCCAAUACAACAUAAUAACAUAUUAUACCAAACCAAAAAAACCUAUUCGGUUAUAUAUCUUAUUUAAAAUACGUUUUCAGUUAUAUGUAUUUAAGAAAACAUAAAAAACCUAUUCAACUAUAUAUUUUAUUUACAAUAUGUAUUUCAUCUUAAUCAUAAGUUCUAAAUCGUAUAGUUAAAAAUGAAGAAGGAAAAAAUAUUGAUAUAUCUUUUUGAAAUAACAAUUAUUAACAAUAUUAUUGACAUAAAAAACGUAUAAAUUGUUUAGAUGCAUAACAAAAUCGUUGUUAAGUUGUUUUAAUACAUAUAACCGAAAAAACAGUUUUAGAACUAGCGACCCAAAAGAAUUUAUACAGUUUUUUUUAUGUCAUCAGCAGUGUUAAUUGUUAUUAUUUCAAAGACAUAAAAAAUAUAUUUUACGAAAACGUUUUUUUAUACGAAAACGUAUUUUUUAAAGAAAAAAAAGUAUAUUUUCAUAAAAUAAAUAUAUAAAAAUACAUGCAAAUUGUUUGUAAAAAAAGUAUUUUUUAUAAUACAACUAAAAUACAUUUUGUUUAUUUAAAAAAAAAUUAUGUAAACAAAUGUUUUUUGUAAUUUAUUGAUUGUUUAUGUUUAACGAUUUUGUUAUUAUAUAAAUUAGUUUUAGGAAACUAUAAACCAAGUGAGCAUGCAGCUCAACUGGUUAAAACUUUAGUAAUUUAAUAGGUUGGAGGUCACGAGUUCCAGGCCUCUCCCUAGCCAUUUAAUUGUCUUUUUCAAACAAAUUUCGAAAAUGAUCUCUGUGGUUUAGUAAAUGUCAUGGAUUCAGUCAUUUUAUACUUGAAAAGACGAAAAUGCCCUUAUAGAUACAGUCCUAACGGCAAAAUACUAACCGAGUUAGUAAAAAGGGCCAUCAAUUCAAGUUUUACAAAUCACAAGGACCAUUUGCAUCAAAAAAAAUUAGCAGGGACUGACUUUGUGAUUUUUGGCAAACCAUAGGGACCAUUUUUGUAAUUUUGUCUUAAUAUUAUCAUAUAUAUCUAUAAAUCUAAAAUAAAUUACAAUAAUAUUUUAACCUAAAAUAUCUUUAAUAUAAUUACAUUGAAACAUUAAAGAAAUUAUAUAAUAGUUUUUAAGUAAAUACACGAAUAUUUCAGGUAAUUAGAGUGUAUGGUCCUUUAACAUUUUUUUUAACUUGGACGAUCCCUAUGGUUUGGUUUUGUUUCGGGUUUGGUCCCCAACAAAGUUAAUAUGGCUAUCUUCCACUUGAUGAUAUUUUUCUAUAAUUUUUUAAUUCAUUUUUUUAUUAUUAUGUUAUUAUUAAAUAGAGUAAAUUAUUAAUGUGUAAAAUGAUACUUCACCAAACAUCGGAUGCUGCCCUUGAAACCACCUCCCCCACCACUGCAUACUUCUUGUAAAAGAUUGAAGGAUCCAGCCUCACCAUUUUCCCCUCUGUUAUAGACAAAGAACAACAAUAUCAUCCAUUCCUGAUGAAAAUCAAAAUCUCUUUCCUUAUUAUAGAAUACCAAAUUCACUCUAUUAGAUAUAUAAUCUCAAAUUCUCAACUUCCAUAAACAGUUCAAAAUAGAACCGAAAGAAGAAAUGCACAUAAACCAUCACUGUGGAAGCUCACAGGAAGCACAAGUUUAGGGACACUAGAAAGCGUAUCAGGUAAUUAAUGAUCUUACACUUACACAUGUGCAAACUUUGACAACAUGCAAUGCCUACUGAAAAAGGUUUAUUUACUAAUGCGGAAAAAAAAAUCUACAAUAAUUAUGGUAUCAUGUACCAGUAGAUAUCAACACAAAACCUAAUCUGAUAAUAUUGGGAGCAAUUACACACAUACAUUAUACAUAUAUAAUAUGUGGCCUAGUAAAACUAUACACACAUAAAUAAAUAAAAAUUCAUUUGUAGGAACUGCUUUCAUAGCAUAUGAAGAAAAACCAGUUCCAAACAUAGCAACAAUACGAAAACAUGAUUUUUUUCCAAUUUUCUCACAGUGAACAAAAGCAAGAGAAGAUUGAGGUUUUUCAUGAGAACGGGUCAACAUAGGACUAUAGUCUAUAGGUGAUUAGUUGAUACAAUAAAACAACACAACCACUACCAAAGGGUCUACUGAGAAGCAGAGGUUUAAUUGAGUUUGAAGCAUUUCCUCCCUUAAACAGAUAAUUACAGAUUACGUGGUGACAUUGUAUCUACCAUUAGGAACUGCAAGUGUCUUGCAAAACAGAGGCUAUCACCAUCUGCUUAUAUGCCUCAUUACCUUCUCUGUGUUACAGGUCCCAAUUUGUGCGACAAUUAGGUCAGACAGAAUCAUAAAAGCGUAGAUGGAUCAUUUUCCCAGUAUACAUCAAUGCAAUUGGAUUAUAUUACACAUAAAAACAUAUAUGCAUCGUUUUCGACAGCCCUAAAUUACUAUCUUCUUUGUAUUACAGGUCCCAAUUUGUGUGUUUUGUAGCAUUUUCUGAAUAUUCUUAAAAAACAGAUGCAGCAAAGUUCAUAAAAUAUAGAGAAUUAGGUCAAAGAAAAAAGAAAAUCAGAAAACAUACCAUGUGGACGCCAAUCACGCCAUAUGAGUUUAAGCUUCGCCUUUCCCCCGUACUCGUCUAUUUCCCGGUGACGAUAGUUUUGAGAGGAACGGAAAUUUGGGGGAAUUUUUGUUACUUGUAUCGUU